CCUAGCAACACACACUCUUGUUGUGCUGUGCAGCCUCGCCGCAGCGUUGGUUCUGAACACACGCCAUGCAGGCUGCCCUGUGCCUGCCCUCACGCCCUGCGAUCCAGUUCAGACUCGACCUUGCUGUAUUUUAUAAACUGCGGCGCUUUAUUAGCAUACGAAGUUUUCUUCUCUUGUAAUAGCUUGCAAGUUGCAAUAUGUCCUCAGUACGAAAAGCCAGCAGGUUUAACAUCGACUCUCUCCAGACCAGCAUGAUGAAUCAUUUUAAAGUCAGAGGCUCUGCUCAGACCCUGACAGAAGAAAACUACCAACAGACACAGGACCAUGUACACAAUUUCCGGGCACUCAUAAAACAGCUGAAGCAGAACCCAGCCCAGAAGUCCUGCUCAAACAUCAGGAGGCUGCUGAGCAUCAUUUAAGGGCUUUAUAAAGCCCAUGCCCUGAAAAUGGCUCUUCCCACUGGCUGCUCAUUCUCAGCUGGCACAUAAGGCUGCUCUUGACUUUGACCUAUAAAACUCCAGAAUUA